UUGUCUCAAAGAUUAAGCCAUGCAUGUCUCAGUACAAGCCAAAUUAAGGUGAAACCGCGAAAGGCUCAUUAAAUCAGUUAUGGUUCCUUAGAUCGUACCCACAUUUACUUGGAUAACUGUGGUAAUUCUAGAGCUAAUACAUGCAAACAGAGCUCCGACCGGAGACGGAAGGAGCGCUUUUAUUAGAUCAAAACCAAUCGGCGGCGGGUUCGCCCGUUCGUCGUACAACUUGGUGAAUCUGAAUAACUUUCUGCUGAUCGCAUGGUCUCGCACCGGCGACGCAUCUUUCAAAUGUCUGCCUUAUCAACUGUCGAUGGUAGGUUCUGCGCCUACCAUGGUUGUAACGGGUAACGGGGAAUCAGGGUUCGAUUCCGGAGAGGGAGCCUGAGAAACGGCUACCACAUCCAAGGAAGGCAGCAGGCGCGCAAAUUACCCACUCCCGGCACGGGGAGGUAGUGACGAAAAAUAACGAUACGGGACUCAUCCGAGGCCCCGUAAUCGGAAUGAGUACACUCUAAACCCUUUAACGAGGAUCAAUUGGAGGGCAAGUCUGGUGCCAGCAGCCGCGGUAAUUCCAGCUCCAAUAGCGUAU
rnacentral:rRNA from 1 species